AUGCAAUAUGUAUGCCAGUUCUUGAACUAUCAUUCUGGGAGACUACUCACACAAAUAUCGAUCUAUAAGCAUAUUUAAGUAACGAUCUAUAAAUUAAUUGUAUAAUUUCUUGUACGUGAUGAUGCACAUAUGCAGGUAUAUAAAAAUUAGAUACAAUAUACCUACAUAAUUUCUUGAACGUGAUGAUGCACAUAUGCCGGUAAUGAAAAUACCCGCUGGUAUUUGAAGCUAAAUACCGGUACCAAAAGCGCAGCAUAUCAGUACUGAAUCAGGAUGAAUGCCAUAAAGAGAAAAGGGAUUUUAUUCACAGCAUUAGCUGCAUUUUGACAAUACCAAGGACCAACGUGAAAGAGUCAAGCUUUGGAGCUAGCAGUUCAGGAUUAGGGUUAACAUUUAGCCCUCAUGUUUCAGUAGGUUCAUCUAGCAUAGAGCUUAUGCCAGUAGCUAAUAAGCCAGCCAUAGAUAAAAAGGUUGAAGUUUAUGUUAGGUUCCUUUUUACUUAUGUUUUGUGAUCAAGCUUUUUAUUUUGUAAAUAUAUCAAUUGGUCACGAUAUAUGUUAAAUGUUGUUGGAACUUAUGCUUACAACGAGGCAGAACUUCGUUAUUUAGGGGGUAUUAUGCCCAAAAAUUACUUUAACUAUAGAGAAAUUCGAGAGAAAGAAAGUGAUACGGAACUGGCCCAAUUGGACUCUUCGGCCCAGGAGGCCCGGGUGAAGCAAGCAAUGAUGGAAGAUUAUUUUGGGCUUGGUUUUGGUGCAUCAUGGGAUAAGGCGGAAUCUUUGACAGAAGGAAAAUAAUGGGUGCCUCAAUUACCGCCAAGAUUGCAAUCAUAAUCAAUUUUACGUUAUUGUUUUUUUUAUUUCCUUUUUUUUGCAUAUUCUACUUUCUAUUUAAGGUGACUUUUGU
rnacentral:lncRNA from 1 species